rnacentral:rRNA from 1 species
UAGGGAAUAUUGGACAAUGGGCGCAAGCCUGAUCCAGCCAUGCCGCGUGAGUGAAGAAGGCCUUCGGGUUGUAAAGCUCUUUUGUCCGGAAAGAAAAGCGCCGGGUUAAUACCCUGGUGUCCUGACGGUACCGGAAGAAUAAGCACCGGCUAACUUCGUGCCAGCAGCCGCGGUAAUACGAAGGGUGCAAGCGUUACUCGGAAUUACUGGGCGUAAAGCGUGCGUAGGUGGUUUGUUAAGUCUGAUGUGAAAGCCCUGGGCUCAACCUGGGAAUUGCAUUGGAUACUGGCAGGCUAGAGUGCGGUAGAGGGUAGUGGAAUUCCCGGUGUAGCAGUGAAAUGCGUAGAGAUCGGGAGGAACAUCCGUGGCGAAGGCGACUACCUGGACCAGCACUGACACUGAGGCACGAAAGCGUGGGGAGCAAACA